UCAGAAUCAUUUAUGAAAUUUUUGUUUUAAAAGAUCCACAAAUGUUUUUUGUCUGCCACAGAAACAUUCCAGAGUACUGGGAUUGCCUUGACCUGUCAAGGGUAACACAGCUGUCCUGGGACAUGGUG